AGGAUGUUUGCUUUAUAGGCAAUUACACACAGAGAGGGGAAGUAGGUGUUUCACCUGUGCACCUUGGAGAGAAAACAAUAGUCUGUAGUUCUCUCUUUCAGCCAGAAAGAUACUCCCGAGGCCAGUGUCAUUCCGGGUCCCAUAGCCACCUCCUGUAGUGAAUCAGGAAACUUGUUCACUUGUGAUGAUAGUCCAGCUACAAGACCACUUGAGAAGUGAUUGCUGAUGAGUAAAUUGAGACAUAAGUUUAAACGACCCAAAAACUUCUCAUGGACACUAAGGGGUCACAAAGGGAGUCAGAGCAUCUCUAUAGCCUGGGCCCUGAUCCACUCUACUAUACUCUCAGCAUUCUAAAGGCAGC